CACACCUUUAAUACCAGCACUUGGUGGGCAGAGGCAGGCAAAUUUCUGAGUUUGAAGCCAGCCUGGUCUACACAGUGAGUUCCAGGACAUCCAGGGUUAUACAGAGAAACACUUUCUCGAAAAAAAUCAAACAAACAAACAAAAAAACACUCCUAAAAUUCUACAAAUAAAUACAUAAGAACCAAAAAAUGACCCAAAAUUUUAUGCUUUUUUUUUUUUUUGAGUUUCUCCUGACUGGCUUUCUCUGUGUAUAUCCCUGACUGUCCUGGGACU
rnacentral:lncRNA from 1 species